GACGAACGCUGGCGGCGUGCCUAAUACAUGCAAGUCGAACGAGAGCGCCCGGUGCUUGCACUGGUCAAUCUAGUGGCGAACGGGUGAGUAACACGUGGGUAACCUGCCCAUCAGAGGGGGAUAACAUCCGGAAACGGAUGCUAAAACCGCAUAGGUCUUCGAGCCGCAUGGCUUGAAGAGGAAAAGAGGCGCAAGCUUCUGCUGAUGGAUGGACCCGCGGUGCAUUAGCUAGUUGGUGAGGUAACGGCUCACCAAGGCCGUGAUGCAUAGCCGACCUGAGAGGGUGAUCGGCCACAUUGGGACUGAGACACGGCCCAAACUCCUACGGGAGGCAGCAGUAGGGAAUAUUCCGCAAUGGACGCAAGUCUGACGGAGCAACGCCGCGUGAGUGAAGAAGGUGUUCGGAUCGUAAAACUCUGUUGUUAGAGAAGAACAAGUGCUAGAGUAACUGUUAGCGCCUUGACGGUAUCUAAACAGAAAGCCACGGCUAACUACGUG
rnacentral:rRNA from 1 species